rnacentral:rRNA from 1 species
UGGGGGAUAUUGCACAAUGGGCGAAAGCCUGAUGCAGCGACGCCGCGUGGGGGAUGAAGGCCUUCGGGUUGUAAACUUCUUUUGCUCUGAACAAGGCAUGCUAAUGGGUGUGUUGAGUGUAGGGGUUGAUUAGCGCCGGCUAACUACGUGCCAGCAGCCGCGGUAAUACGUAGGGCGCGAGCGUUGUCCGGAAUUAUUGGGCGUAAAGGGCUUGUAGGUGGCUGGUUGCGUCUGUCGUGAAAGGUCAUGGCUUAACUGUGGGUUUGGCGUGGGUACGGGCUGGCUUGAGUGCAGUAGGGGAGGCUGGAAUUCCUGGUGUAGCGGUGGAAUGCGCAGAUAUCAGGAGGAAUACCGGUGGCGAAGGCGGGUCUCUGGGCUGUUACUGACACUGAGGAGCGAAAGCAUGGGGAGCGAACAGG